rfam:Nematostella vectensis strain CH2 x CH6 NEMVEscaffold_2989_Cont43732, whole genome shotgun sequence.
GUAGUGUGAAUUGCAGAAUUCAGUGAAUCAUCGAAUCUUUGAACGCAAAUGGCGCUCUUGGGUUUUCCCAGGAGCAUGUCUGUCUGAGUGUCG